CGCAGCGACGCCUGCGCACUGAACGCCGGUUGCCCAUGCGGCCCUAGGGCUGGGAGCGCGGCGCCGCUCUCCGCUGCGGGGGAGGCCAUGGCGGAACCUUCCCAGGCCCCGACCCCGGCCCCGGCUGCGCAGCCCCGGCCCCUUCAGUCCCCAGCCCCUGCCCCAACUCCGACUCCUGCACCCAGCCCGGCUUCAGCCCCGACUCCGACUCCCACCCCGGCACCAGCCCCUGCCCCAGCUGCAGCCCCAGCCGGCAGCACAGGGACUGGGGGGCCCGGGGUAGGAAGUGGGGGGGCCGGGAGCGGGGGGGAUCCGGCUCGACCUGGCCUGAGCCAGCAGCAGCGCGCUAGCCAGAGGAAGGCGCAAGUCCGGGGGCUGCCGCGCGCCAAGAAGCUUGAGAAGCUAGGGGUCUUCUCGGCUUGCAAGGCCAAUGAAACCUGUAAGUGUAAUGGCUGGAAAAACCCCAAGCCCCCCACUGCACCCCGCAUGGAUCUGCAGCAGCCAGCUGCCAACCUGAGUGAGCUGUGCCGCAGUUGUGAGCAUCCCUUGGCUGACCACGUAUCUCACUUGGAGAAUGUGUCAGAGGAUGAAAUAAACCGGCUGCUGGGGAUGGUGGUGGAUGUGGAGAAUCUCUUCAUGUCUGUUCACAAGGAGGAGGACACAGACACCAAGCAGGUCUAUUUCUACCUCUUCAAGCUCCUGCGGAAAUGCAUCCUGCAGAUGACACGGCCCGUGGUGGAGGGGUCCCUGGGCAGCCCUCCAUUUGAGAAACCUAAUAUUGAGCAGGGUGUGCUGAACUUUGUGCAGUACAAGUUUAGUCACCUGGCUCCCCGGGAGCGGCAGACGAUGUUUGAGCUCUCAAAGAUGUUCUUGCUCUGCCUUAACUACUGGAAGCUUGAGACACCUGCCCAGUUUCGGCAGAGGUCUCAGGCUGAAGAUGUGGCUACCUACAAGGUCAAUUACACCAGAUGGCUCUGUUAUUGCCACGUGCCCCAGAGCUGUGAUAGUCUCCCCCGCUACGAAACCACUCAUGUCUUUGGGCGAAGCCUUCUCCGGUCCAUUUUCACCGUUACCCGCCGGCAGCUCCUGGAAAAGUUCCGAGUGGAGAAGGACAAAUUGGUGCCUGAGAAGAGGACCCUCAUCCUCACUCACUUCCCCAAAUUCCUGUCCAUGCUGGAGGAGGAGAUCUAUGGGGCAAACUCUCCAAUCUGGGAGUCAGGCUUCACCAUGCCACCCUCAGAGGGGACACAGCUGGUGCCCCGGCCAGCUUCGGUCAGUGCAGCAGUUGUUCCCAGCACCCCCAUCUUCAGCCCCAGCAUGGGCGGAGGCAGCAGCAACUCCCUGAGUCUGGAUCCUGCAGGGGCCGAGCCCAUGCCAGGUGAGAAGAGGAAGCUCCCGGAGAACCUGACCCUGGAGGAUGCCAAGAGGCUCCGUGUGAUGGGUGACAUCCCCAUGGAGCUAGUCAAUGAGGUCAUGCUGACCAUCACUGACCCUGCUGCCAUGCUGGGUCCUGAGACGAGCCUGCUUUCGGCCAACGCGGCCCGGGAUGAGACAGCCCGCCUGGAGGAGCGCCGUGGCAUCAUUGAGUUCCACGUCAUCGGCAACUCGCUGACGCCCAAGGCCAACCGGCGGGUGUUGCUGUGGCUCGUGGGGCUGCAGAAUGUCUUUUCCCACCAGCUGCCACGCAUGCCUAAGGAGUAUAUCGCCCGCCUCGUCUUUGACCCGAAGCACAAGACUCUGGCCUUGAUCAAGGAUGGGCGGGUCAUCGGUGGCAUCUGCUUCCGCAUGUUUCCCACCCAGGGCUUCACGGAGAUUGUCUUCUGUGCUGUCACCUCGAAUGAGCAGGUCAAGGGUUAUGGGACCCACCUGAUGAACCACCUGAAGGAGUAUCAUAUCAAGCACAACAUUCUCUACUUCCUCACCUACGCGGACGAGUACGCCAUCGGCUACUUCAAAAAGCAGGGUUUCUCCAAGGACAUCAAGGUGCCCAAAAGCCGAUACCUGGGCUACAUCAAGGACUACGAGGGAGCGACACUGAUGGAGUGUGAGCUGAAUCCCCGCAUCCCCUACACAGAGCUGUCCCACAUCAUCAAGAAGCAGAAAGAGGUGGUGUGCACAUAUCAUCAAGAAGCUGAUUGAGCGCAAACAGGCCCAGAUCCGCAAGGUCUACCCGGGGCUCAGCUGCUUCAAGGAGGGGGUGAGGCAGAUCCCUGUGGAGAGUGUCCCUGGCAUUCGAGAGACGGGCUGGAAGCCUUUGGGGAAGGAGAAGGGGAAGGAGCUGAAGGACCCCGACCAGCUCUACACAACCCUCAAAAACCUGCUGGCCCAAAUCAAGUCGCACCCCAGUGCCUGGCCCUUCAUGGAGCCUGUGAAGAAGUCGGAGGCCCCUGACUACUACGAGGUCAUCCGCUUCCCCAUUGACCUGAAGACCAUGACUGAGCGGCUGCGAAGCCGCUACUACGUGACCCGGAAGCUCUUUGUGGCCGACCUGCAGCGGGUCAUUGCCAACUGCCGCGAGUACAACCCCCCGGACAGCGAGUACUGCCGCUGCGCCAGCGCCCUGGAGAAGUUCUUCUACUUCAAGCUCAAGGAGGGAGGGCUCAUUGACAAGUAGGCCCAGCUUUGGGCCGCAGCCCUGACCUUGAAUGUCUCCACCUCGGAUUCUGAUCUGAUCCUUAGGGGAUGCCCUGGCCCCACGGACCCAACUCAACUUGAGACACUCUAGCCAAGGGCCCUCCGGCCCCUGAUCCUACAGCCCUUUCUGGACCUUCAGGCACCCCCCAAGCCUGCAGCUCCAUCCCAGCCUUCACUGUGUGUGAGAGGUCUCCUGGGUUGGGGCCCAGUCCCUCUAGAGUGGCUGGUGGCCAGGGAUGAAACUUGCCCAGCCGUGGUGGCCCCCAGACCUGGUCCCCAAGAGCUUUGGAGGCUUGGAUUCCUGGGCCUGGCCCUGCUGGUUGUUUCCCUGAGGACCAGGACUGUUCAUUUUAGCUUGAGUGAUGGCUUCAGGGGUUGGAAGUUCAGUCCAAACUGGAGGGGCCAUGCCUUGUCCAGUACUGUACUGUCAGUCUCCCCCAGGGGUGGGGGUGUGGGGACCAUUCAUUCCCUGGCAUUAAUCCCUUAGAGGGAACAAUAAAGCUUUUUAUUUCUCUGUG